rnacentral:rRNA from 1 species
GAUGAACGCUGGCGGCGUGCCUAAUACAUGCAAGUCGAGCGAAGCGGGGACGGGUGAGUAACACGUGGAUAACCUCCUAUAAGACUGGGAUAACCUCGGGAAACCGGAGCUAAACCGGCUACUUAUAGAUGGAUCCGCGCUGCAUUAGCUAGUUGGUAAGGUAACGGCUUACCAAGGCAACGAUGCAUAGCCGACCUGAGAGGGUGACCGGCCACACUGGAACGGGGAUACGGUCCAGCCUCCUACGGGGUGCCGCCGUAUGGAGUCUUCCGCAAUGGACGAAAGCCUUGCGGAGCAACCCCGCGUCAGUGAAGAAGAUCUUGGGAUCGAAAAGCGCUGUGAUUAGGGAAGCGGUACCUAAGCAGAAAGCCACUGCUAACUCCGUACCAGCAGCCGCGGUAAUUC